AUUGUGGCAAGGUCAAGG
rnacentral:snRNA from 1 species